UUUUUUUUGGAAUUUAGAAGUUUGCAACCAAACACGAGCUAGGUGGAGUGAAAUCAAUCGGACGGAAGCCUCCGAACGGUUGCCCGCCGUAAAUAUGUAGACCUAUAUCGCGGAGCCAAAAGGAGGCCUGCGGGGAGCUCCUCAGCUAUUUGUUAGGUUCGAUCACCACUAAAGGCAUAUUUGCUUGAAGUGCAGCUUUCGGAGCUUUUUUAAAAAAACUUGCAGCUAGCUUUUUCUCUUUUUAAAAACCAAUAACAACUUUUAGACGAUGUUUCCAACUUUUUGAGCUUAAAGAAACUAAAAACUUCAUAUAGAAUUCAGCUUUUCUGAACUUUUAACUUUCAAAAACUGCACGAGAAAUUCAUUGUUCGAGCUUCUGAAUUUUCAUAUUGAAAAACUAUCCAGAAGCUCAGACAAUUAGAUCUAGUUCCUACCAACACCGGCCCAUAAAGCAUCGCUCAAAAUCAAAUCUACGUUGGGAAUAAUCUUUCCCCACAUAUCAGUUUUUCUUCGAGAACGUUUUGGAAUCUAGUGGCUAAUGCGUACGAAUUUUGACAAAUUUUCGAUCAAAUUUCACCCUUCUUAAAUGCGAGCAGCAUGUUUUCUUUCAUCUGACACGCCUGAUCUUUGGAAGUGAAGAUGUGAUGCGUCAGGCUUAUGGACCAGGGUGUAAGCACGUCAUCAUAUUGUAUUGGUCGUUACUCAGUUUCUCCUCACUGCUUUAGAGGACCGGCGGCACAGAGCAGUGAAGAUCUUUUAAAGUGAAGCCAAUCGAUGAGUGAUGCUGGUUGCUCGCCGCCGCCGCCAUCUUUCCUUCGCCUUCCCUAUGGAGGAUACUUAGCCUGAGAGUGAGCAGUCCAGCGUUUAACACCUGUUAAUUUGUAUUUUCCCCCUUUAAGAUUCUGUUCAUCAGGGAACUCUCAUCUCUUCACCGGUUGAAUUGUCUUUUUUUUCUCUCUAUGAGAUUCUGUCCACAGGGCAUGUUGUUGUCGACAGGCACACGUACCACUGAAAGACAAGCACCGGUUAAAUAUUAUUCAUCAUAGCAUUUUCAUAUCUUUGGUCAUCAUAUUACUCAUUAAAUUAUCAUUUUUUUGAGAUUCUAUUCAUCAGGGCACCUUGUUGUCGAAGAGCAGAUAUCCUCCCAAUAAUGUUACACAAAUAUUUGAUUCUAGGCUAUAUGGACUACCUAGAAAGAUUAUAUACCAAGUUUUGAUUUGGAAUUUUCUACUCUAAUGUUACACAAAUAUUUUGGAUCUUUGUGUGACCCAUUAUUUGUGUUGAUAUUCUCAGGACUAUUUCUUGAUAUUUCUAUUAAUUAAAUUCACAGCUGCACAAAAUUCAUAUUUUUAUUAUUCUUUACAGUGAAUUGGUAAUUUCUACAUCUGAUGAGAUUGCAAUGGCAAUUGGAAGUGAACCCUGGACCAAUAUGAUAUCUGAUGAGCUAAUAUGGAUGCAAUCUCCCUGUCAAGUGGCUUUCAAUGGCUACUUGAUGACCUCGGGACCCAAAUCAAGGUUGCAGAAGCAGUUCUGAAAAGGGCAGGCAACUACACUCAUGAAGAGGACAUCCAACUGUGUAUCUCAUGGGAAAAUAUUAGCAUUGAUCAUAUCGUUGGCAAUGAGCAGACAGGGAGAGCAUUGAUCAAACACCUUUUUCUGGACUGCCCCUAUGCGAGAAUGGUUUGGAGGAUUAUCUUUUAUGCUACAUGUUUGAUGCCACCUAGAUCAAUUGGCCAUAUGUUUGACUCAUGGCUUUCUAAUCAAUCUAAAAAUAUUAGGAACUUGAUUUGAGUCGGAGUUGCUGCUGUAUGCUGGGCCAUUUGGAGAUGACGAAACGAUAUUAUUUUUAACAAUAUCAAAGUUGGUUCGAUUUUGCAGGUUAUCUUCAGGGGAACGUAUUGGCUACGGUUCUGGGCGCAGCUGCAGCGUGACGAGCACGCUAAGAACGCACUCUCCAAGAUGAGCAGAAACAUAGAGAUUAUUGCUACGGGCUAGUAAAAGGAGGGUGGAAGCAAAACUAUUUUUUUAUAGUAGUUCUUUGUCUGAGUUGGAGACUAGUUGUGCUCUUCUUUCUUUGUAAACCUUGUAAUAAUUGGCUGUGUACAUCCACGGAUGUAUAGGCCGGAUUCGUAAUCCUUUUUCUAAAAAGGGAGAGCAUAUUGGAAAAGAACUGCAUAUCAUUACCAUGCAAACAAGACCUCUGAGUCUGAUAGGAAUGCAAACUCCCUUGAAUAUCAUUGGAGUACCAUUCACAUGGAGUGCAUAAGUUUCAAGGAUUCUAUGAUGAGAUUGAGCGUCACCAUCCAAGUGGCAUACCGUACAAGGAGCAUAUUCUUGAAGCACAAAUAUUGUUUGCAAAGGGUCCACUAAAACAGUCCUAGUUCCUUCAUUAUUGGCUCAAGGUGUGGCAUUGUUAGAAGUUCCAAGCAAUAGAGAACAACAAAAGGUCACAAAGUAACAUUUCUUCCUAUAGAGCUAUUGAAGGAGAAGGUGGAGAUGAUAGUUGCAGGAGUUAUUCAACAGAACCUAACCAAAAGAAGAGGCCAAUAGAAAGAAAUCUAGCAAAGAAGAGGUUGAAGACCGAAGGUGAUGCAGGACCAUAUAGAGAAGCCAUUGAAGAGUUGAUAUUGGGCAAGAAGGAGGAUAAGAAACUAAGGAAGAUCAGGUGGGAGGAAGAAAAAAAGCUAAAGGAGGACAAGUGGAAGGAGACAAAAGAUGAUUCACCAGCAAAAGAUAUCAUUGAAAAAGGAAAACUUGAUGUGGGAACAAGAAUAGAAAAUCAUGUUCUAUUAUAAAAGUACUUUGGAUCCAGAUCAGAAGACAUAUAUGUUGGCAAUGAGGGUACAAAUUGCAGCACAAAAGAUGGCCUUCAGUGCUGGGUUUAGCAGAGGGUUCGCGCUUCUAGUGAUGUUAGUGGAGUUUGGAACAAGGGAACCAACAACUUCAAGUGCCUUCUGAACUAUAUGGUCCAAUUAUUGCCUUUCUGAUGAAAUACUGCCUUGCUGGUGAACUAUAUUCUCAUUUAUUUGGUGAAA